AUGGAUGUUCUAGAAUUGGUAAAUAGAGCUGACUUAGAAUCAGUAGGAUUAAACAACCUUGCGCGUUCGAUUCGCGUCAUCCAUA
rnacentral:tRNA from 1 species